rnacentral:rRNA from 1 species
GAUGAACGCUGGCGGCGUGCUUAACACAUGCAAGUCGAACGAUGACCCCGUGCUUGCACGGGUGAUUAGUGGCGAACGGGUGAGUAACACGUGAGUAACCUGCCCCCGACUUUGGGAUAAGCCCGGGAAACUGGGUCUAAUACCGGAUAUGACUUCUUACCGCAUGGUGGGUUGUUGAAAGAUUUAUCGGUGGGGGAUGGACUCGCGGCCUAUCAGCUUGUUGGUGAGGUAAUGGCUCACCAAGGCGACGACGGGUAGCCGGCCUGAGAGGGUGACCGGCCACACUGGGACUGAGACACGGCCCAG